rnacentral:rRNA from 1 species
AUGGAUCCGUCGAAGCUGAGCGAGCUGCACUCCUUCGUGGAGGAGUGCAAGAAGGACCCGGCGCUCCUCGCCGACCCCGCCCUCGACGCCAACCUCCCACCGCGGGGGUGGGGAAGACGGCCCAGGCGGCGGCGGCGCACGCCGCGCUCUUCUACUUCACGCUCCUCCUCGCGCUCAGGGUCGACGGCCGCGCCGACUCCUCCUGGUGUUGGCGUGGAUCCGGUGCUGCGUGGAGGAGAAGGAGGCCAUGGAGUCCUGCGGCCGCGACGAGGAGGAGCCCAGCGGCGGAAGAGGAGCAGGGGCCACCCGGCCAGGAGAUUGAGUCGAGGAAGCAGCAGCCGGAGAAGCCGAAGGGGGGGGGGGCGGGGGUGCGACGGGGUGCGGCGCCUGCUGCAAGCUAGACAAGGGCCUCGAGUUCCUCACCCCCGACAAGGACAAGGCGGACGGCCCUGA